rnacentral:rRNA from 1 species
UACGGAGGGAGCUAGCGUUGUUCGGAAUUACUGGGCGUAAAGCGCACGUAGGCGGCUUUGUAAGUUAGAGGUGAAAGCCCGGAGCUCAACUCCGGAAUUGCCUUUAAGACUGCAUCGCUUGAAUCCAGGAGAGGUGAGUGGAAUUCCGAGUGUAGAGGUGAAAUUCGUAGAUAUUCGGAAGAACACCAGUGGCGAAGGCGGCUCACUGGACCGUUGUUGACGCUGAGGUGCGAAAGCGUGGGGAGCAAACAGG